UUGUAGCUUGGUGGUAGAGUGCUUGUCUAAAAUGCAUGAUACCCUGGGUUUGAUCCCUAGCAA
rnacentral:tRNA from 1 species